UCUUGCGAUCGCUGCCUCGACGAUCUUCUUUUUCUUUUCUAGAUCUUUCUCAUCGUCAUAUGUUUCAUCUUCAAUCUUCGUCUUCUCGAUCAGAACAUCUUUCAAACCGGAGACGCUAAGGAAAGCGUACAUCUGUCUCUUUCAUAGCGAGAAAUCACCAUCGCCAUCGAACUUUUCUAUAUCGGACUUAGUCCCUGCCAUCGCCGAUCGAUCUUGAAAGAUUCACCUCCUUCGCCGAUUCGCUAAGCUCGCGAACAUGGCUCUGAUACCACUUCUGUUAGGAUUCGAGCUUGAUUUCAACUUAACGACUUCGAUCAAUGACACAAGCAAGAAACGAUAAAAGAAGAGAAAGAGAACGUAUACUCGUCGGGGCUGGACGGUACCAGCAACUGCACUAUAGAGAUCUUAGCUCAAACUGAGCUUUCGAGAUACAACAGUGGCGAUCUACUUCUUUUGCCUUUCUCUCUCUAUCUUAUCUCUAUCUCUCUCUC
rnacentral:lncRNA from 1 species